GGUUUUAAUAUAAAGGUGUAUGAACUUAUAAUAAGGACAUAUUCAACGGUUGAUUGGUCCAGCACGAAGUGAAUGGAAAAUCUGUUCUUGUAGUAACAACAUUAGAGCCUUCCUUGACGCACGCGCCGAUAACAUGAAGUCAUCCCUGACCAUAGUUUUCUUCGCUGCAGCUUUAUCCCUGGCCUUUGCGGCGCCACAAUUCAUUACAUUUCAAGAUGGAAAGUUAGGAGUUAACUUUGCUGGCUAUCAUGCUGGAGUUGGAGUUGGUGGAUUAUUGGCUAAUGGAACUCUUGGAGGACUGUACGCAGAGGCUGGUACACCAACAGGGCAAUCGGCUUCAGCCGGACUCGGCGGUGUUGUGAACAAGUACGGGCAUGCUACAGGAGGACUGUUUGCUGGAGCGACAGCAGGUAACAAUAUUCAAGCUGCUGCAGGACUUUCGGGUGGGCUCGACUCUGAAAACUCAGCUGGAACCGGCUUCGCCACAGCUCAAGCUGGGAACCGUAUAACUUCCUCAGGACUGGGUGGUCACGCUGGUGUUGAAGGAUCAUCAGGCUUCACUUACAGCGGUAAAGAAGUAUCCGUUAUACCAGCACACAGUGCUGAAGCCGCAUUUAAUGUUAACGCUAAUGUAAAUGAAGUACAACCUCUUCCCGAAUCACGGGUUGAGAUACAUAAAACUUUUAUUAAACAGAGUGCUCCACCUCCCGUUAUUGUCAAAGAAGUGAGUAACGUAUGGUCACCAAGACACCAAACACCAUUUUAUCGAUUUAAUGAUUUUAUCACAGGAGUAUAUAACAUUCCUUUAGAUGAGGAAUUAGUUAAUCAACAUAAGGUUAUUGUAGAAUCCCCACCUCCGCCACCACAUAUUGUCGAAAAACACAUAAUCCACACUCAUCACAAGCACAAACGCCCGCAUGUACGUAAAACUGCGUUUGUCAGUGGCUACAUCGGUGGAGGAGGCAACUUACAGCCAGCCGAGACAGUAGUUUACCAAUCGGAACCGGCUAUAGACAAACGACUAGACGUCGGUGUACAGGCUGCAGCAGCUGCUGGAGUAGAUGCUAAUCCGCAUGUAGGAGGAGGAAUCAGAAAUGUUUAUAGAAAAGAAGUAUCUAUUCAAAGGAAUCCUUCAUUCUUUAGUGAUAUUUUCAAUAUACCCAUAUCCACACUGAAAGCUGUAGGAAAUUUCCUCGGAAAUACAGCGUCAAAUACAAAUAUAUCUGUCCAAAAGUCGGCUUCCGUUGAAACAGGAACUGUCUCUGAGCUGAAACAUUAUCCAUCUUCAUCGUCAUCAUCAUCUUCAUCACACAUCUCAGUACAGACACCGACUGCAUCUAAAUUUAUUGAUGAUAUACUAUCUGUAAUGAUCAAAAUUGCUUGAAAAUAUUAACAUAAAAAGGGGUAAUUGUCGAAUACGGCGCAGUAUUGUAACCGCAAGGAUUUGAGGUACGUAUGAUUUAAGUAACAUUGUUCUGUGUUAUCAAUGUAUAUUUCAUUGUAAUUCCUUCAUUCUUAAAUUGUUGCUUGAAUAUGUUGAACAUAAAUAUUCCGAAGUCUAGAGAUAUAUUAUUUUUAUAUUCUGUAUCUUCAUCAUAAUAAUAUAUCAAACGUAUAUCCUAUUAAGGUUUUCGUUUCCGAUUUGAUUACCCUGUCGAUGAAAAAUAUAACGAUAAACUAGAUUAAAAUACUAAUGAUUAUCAAAUGUAUAUAGAAAUAAAUUUAUUUUUAUUGGUGAAUAAUUUUGUAUAACGAUUUAGAUUCCAAUAAGCACCUUGGGAGCCGUAAAUCGAUUUCUCGAAAAUAACGUCGCGAGGAAAAGCGUUCAGGUAUCCCAGGAAGUUGUUGAUGCACCGUCAAGAAUCAGAAGGGUUCCACAUGGUCGCAGAAGAGCUAAUAAGGUCGU